GUUGUUGCUGACUACAGAAAGAUUCUUAUAUGGAGGCAUGUAAAAGCAAGGAAAGUGAAACUUCAGCUAGACCUUGAGUUCAGUUUACAAUAUGAAGAUCCUGAUAUCAACAUCUGAUCAACACCUGAUUUUCAUCUGAGCUGCAGAGUACCAACAUGUUACAAAUGAGAAUUUUCCCCACAAAUUCUUUGGACAACCGCACCACCACCUAUUUCAUUUGAUGACAAUUUUAAGGCAAACAGCAUCCAAAACUGACAAGACAGCAGAUACCCUGGCUAAUCUUUUGAAGGUUUAUGAUGAGCAGGAACUGCAUGAUGUCAGUUCAUGAUGGACUACUGUUAUCAGAGGUCUUUUGGUCUUGCUGCGUGAGCGUGACUGGGGAUUCUUUAGGACCACCCUGAUUAAUAAUCCUGAAGCGCUGACUGAAGAUGCUUUAUUGGCCCUGCAGUCACUGAGGGUCUCUGCUGUCCUGAAGAAUGAAUUGGACACCACCCACAGCACACUUCCAGACCUUUUUUGUCUUGUUUGAAUUAAUGUAUGCUCUUCACUCAGUAUAUAGUAAAGGACUUUGAACUUGUACAAAAAGUUUCGCUUGGCAUGGAUGAUAGAAAAUAGAAAGUCGAUUAGCAUAGAAUCCUUAAAGAAUGAGUUGAUGUAGAGCCUUUUUUGUACUCAAUAAAGACUGUCACUGGGGUAGUAACUUCAAAACAUGUGUGAACCUUUAAUUGGUA